rnacentral:misc_RNA from 1 species
GAAAUCUCAACCAUUAGGGUUUCUUAAUGGCUUGGAUUUGGGCGUUGCCAGUAGCCUGGCUCGCCUUAAAAGAGUUAGCGUGUUUAACUUGUCGUAUCUGGCGUAAUAAGUUUCGCUGGUGUUGACUUGAGAAGUGCGCUUCUAAUCGUCCUCGGACAAUUCUUGAACUC